AUUUGAUGACUAUAUAUAUAUAUAGAUAUGAAAAGUCCAAGGUUUUAUAAGCAGUAUCCAUAUCCAUAAAGUAUAAUACAUGGCAUCCAUGAAGCUAUAUGUGUCUGUUGUGCUCAUACUUGCAGGUACCUUUGCCCAAGGUACCCUGGCCCGGAAGACGAAUGGACUCGAUAUUGGAGAAUGUUUGGAUCAGUGGUAUCACGGAAAACCUUGCAAUGUAUAUGAAUGCUAUAACGAGUGCCAGCGAGUAAAAGGACCGACCGCCGGAGGUAGAUGCAAUAUCGAGAAGACAUUGUGUCUAUGUGUAUACCCUUGUUAAAGUCCUUUGUGACGUGAAAGCCAUAUUAUGUAUUUAUUAUAUAAAUAAAUGAGCUUUCUGAUA